CAAGUCGAACGAUGAACCUUAGCUUGCUAGGGGAAUUAGUGGCGAACGGGUGAGUAAUAUAUCGGAACGUACCUUGUAAUGGGGGAUAACUAGUCGAAAGAUUAGCUAAUACCGCAUACGCCCUGAGGGGGAAAGUAGGGGAUCUUCGGACCUUACGUUAUAAGAGCGGCCGAUAUCUGAUUAGCUAGUUGGUGGGGUAAUGGCCUACCAAGGCGACGAUCAGUAGCUGGUCUGAGAGGACGACCAGCCACACUGGAACUGAGACACGGUCCAGACUCCUACGGGAGGCAGCAGUGGGGAAUUUUGGACAAUGGGCGAAAGCCUGAUCCAGCCAUUCCGCGUGAGUGAAGAAGGCCUUCGGGUUGUAAAGCUCUUUCGCAAGGGAAGAAAACUUACAUUCUAAUAAAGUGUGAGGCUGACGGUACCUUGAUAAGAAGCACCGGCUAACUACGUGCCAGCAGCCGCGGUAAUACGUAGGGUGCGAGCGUUAAUCGGAAUUACUGGGCGUAAAGCGUGCGCAGGCGGUUUUGUAAGUCAGAUGUGAAAUCCCCGAGCUCAACUUGGGAACUGCGUUUGAAACUACAAGACUAGAAUAUGUCAGAGGGGGGUAGAAUUCCACGUGUAGCAGUGAAAUGCGUAGAGAUGUGGAGGAAUAUCAAUGGCGAAGGCAGCCCCCUGGGAUAAUAUUGACGCUCAUGCACGAAAGCGUGGGGAGCAAACAGGAUUAGAUACCCUGGUAGUCCACGCCCUAAACGAUGUCUACUAGUUGUUGGUGGAGUAAAAUCCAUGAGUAACGCAGCUAACGCGUGAAGUAGACCGCCUGGGGAGUACGGUCGCAAGAUUAAAACUCAAAGGAAUUGACGG
rnacentral:rRNA from 1 species